UCCAGGCCUUAGUGCUUAGUCACGCAGUGUGACAACAUCAGCCUUGAUCCUUGUCUUCAUUUGUGAUCCCAGCCAAAGGAAGAGCCCUUAUCUAAGGCAGUCGCCUCUUGGCAAAUCACUCUUGGAAGAGUUAUUACAAAACAAUGGGUCUUAAAUCAUCUAUUCCAAAAUAGCACAGGCCACUGCUUAUUUCAUUGGCCAAAACAUGUUAAACAGCCCAUACCAGUAUCAAUGCUGUAAUGAAUAAUACCCUCCAGCAGAGACAGGCCAUCAGGGUGGUCUGAGAUGAACGAGACUGGAGCAGGAGAGCCUGAUCAUCUUAAAUAAACACAGUAAUCCACCACAGCUCCUGCUUUCCGACCUGCUUGAGUUCCAGUCCUGACUUCUUUGGUGAUAAACAGAAAUGUGGAAGUCCCACUCACAGGACACACUGAAGCCCUGAGAUGCACUGUGUGAAUCGUCCCAGCCCUUCUGAUGUGAGAUCAGAUUUCCAUUCUGUCCUGGUCAUGGAACGAAACCAACCCACAAAUAUGUGCAGCUCUUGAUCUUCUCUUGAUCUGCUGCUAUCAAGCCACCUAGAAUGAGGGGCAUUGCAUCCAAAGGCUGAGUGAGCUGAAAGGUCCACAACCUGCUCACUGCCUCUGAAACUCUAUGAGAUGACAGCACUGAGAAGAGCCACCGUGUGGAGCACGGACACUUUGGACCAUUUAAUAAUAUAUGCACAUCUAAAUGGCUGGCGAGUUCCCUUUCUUCCUCAGUCCAGAACACCCGGAACUGAGCCAUCCCCUCCUUAGCCCUUCACAUCUCUAUCCUAAAGCUGCCCUGGUGCACAUGCAAAGACCUGUGCUUGCUGCAGGGUGACCUGGAGCUGCAGGGAGAUUAUAUAAAGAGAAAAUCUGAUAGAUGCAGCUUUAAGCCCAUUUCUGUUGGUGAAGGAGACAGUUCAGUGAAUAAAGGUGACCUGUGUAA